rnacentral:tRNA from 2 species
GGCCGGGUAGCCAAUUGGGAAGGCAGCUGUCUGCAAAACAGCUAUGAGUGGGUUCGAUUCCCAUCCCGGCCUCAA